rnacentral:rRNA from 1 species
UACAGAGGGGGCAAGCGUUGUUCGGAAUUACUGGGCGUAAAGGGCGCGUAGGCGGCCUGUUAAGUCGAACGUGAAAUCCCCGGGCUCAACCCGGGAACUGCGUCCGAUACUGGCAGGCUUGAAUUCGGGAGAGGGAUGUGGAAUUCCAGGUGUAGCGGUGAAAUGCGUAGAUAUCGGGAGGAACACCAGUGGCGAAGGCGACUUCCUGGCCUGUUCUUGACGCUGAGGCGCGAAAGCUAGGGUAGCAAACGGG